rnacentral:rRNA from 1 species
AUUGAACGCUGGCGGCAGGCUUAACACAUGCAAGUCGAGCGGAGAUGAGGUGCUUGCACCUUAUCUUAGCGGCGGACGGGUGAGUAAUGCUUAGGAAUCUGCCUAUUAGUGGGGGACAACAUCCCGAAAGGAAUGCUAAUACCGCAUACGUCCUACGGGAGAAAGCAGGGGAUCUUCGGACCUUGCGCUAAUAGAUGAGCCUAAGUCGGAUUAGCUAGUUGGUGGGGUAAAGGCCUACCAAGGCGACGAUCUGUAGCGGGUCUGAGAGGAAGAUUCGCCACACUGGGACUGAGACACGGCCCAGACUCCUACGGGAGGCAGCAGUGGGGAAUAUUGGACAAUGGGGGGAACCCUGAUCCAGCCAUGCCGCGUGUGUGAAGAAGGCCUUAUGGUUGUAAAGCACUUUAAGCGAGGAGGAGGCUACUGAGACUAAUACUCUUGGAUAGUGGACGUUACUCGCAGAAUAAGCACCGGCUAACUCUGUGCCAGCCGCCGCCGUAAUAC